CCUACGGGAGGCAGCAGUGAGGAAUAUUGGUCAAUGGCCGGAAGGCUGAACCAGCCAAGCCGCGUGAAGGACGAAGGUGCCAAGCAUUGUAAACUUCUUUUGUCAAGGGACAAAAUCAGGCUCGAGAGCCUGACCGCGGGUACUUGAAGAAAAAGCAUCGGCUAACUCCGUGCCAGCAGCCGCGGUAAUACGGAGGAUGCGAGCGUUAUCCGGAUUUAUUGGGUUUAAAGGGUGCGUAGGCGGACUGUUAAGUCAGCGGUAAAAGCCCGGGGCUCAACCCCGGCGAGCCGUUGAAACGGGCUGUCUUGAGAUGUCGAGAGGUAUGCGGAAGGCGCGGUGUAGCGGUGAAAUGCUUAGAUAUUGCGCAGAACUCCGAUUGCGAAGGCAGCAUACCGGAGGCGAUCUGACGCUGAGGCACGAAAGCGUGGGUAUCGAACAGGAUUAGAUACCCCUGUAGUC
rnacentral:rRNA from 1 species